rnacentral:rRNA from 1 species
CAGCCGCCACGGUAAUACAGAGGGUGCGAGCGUUAAUCGGAUUUACUGGGCGUAAAGCGUGCGUAGGCGGCUUUUUAAGUCGGAUGUGAAAUCCCUGAGCUUAACUUAGGAAUUGCAUUCGAUACUGGGAAGCUAGAGUAUGGGAGAGGAUGGUAGAAUUCCAGGUGUAGCGGUGAAAUGCGUAGAGAUCUGGAGGAAUACCGAUGGCGAAGGCAGCCAUCUGGCCUAAUACUGACGCUGAGGUACGAAAGCAUGGGGAGCAAACAGGAUUAGAUACCCGGGUAGUCCCUGUCUCUUAUAA